rnacentral:rRNA from 1 species
UGGGUAACGUGCCCCGAUGACUGGGACAACCCGGGGAAACCCGGGCUAAUACCGGAUGUGCUCCCUCACCUCGGUGAGACGAGCAAAGGAAGCUUCGGCCUCCGCAUUGGGAUCGGCCCGCGGCCCAUUAGCUUGUUGGUGAGGUAACGGCUCACCAAGGCUGCGAUGGGUAGCUGGUCUGAGAGGACGAUCAGCCACACUGGGACUGAGACACGGCCCAGACUCCUACGGGAGGCAG